rnacentral:rRNA from 1 species
GCGGUGGAGCAUGUGGUUCAAUUCGACGCAACGCGAAGAACCUUACCUGGGCUCGAAAUGUAGUGGACCGGGGUGGAAACAUCCCUUCCCGCAAGGGCUGCUAUAUAGGUGCUGCAUGGCUGUCGUCAGCUCGUGUCGUGAGAUGUUGGGUUAAGUCCCGCAACGAGCGCAACCCUUAUUGUCAGUUGCCAUCAUUCAGUUGGGCACUCUGGCGAAACCGCCUCGGAUAACGGGGAGGAAGGUGGGGAUGACGUCAAGUCCUCAUGGCCUUUAUGUCCAGGGCUACACACGUGCUACAAUGGUCGGUACAAACCGUCGCAAACCCGUGAGGGGGAGCUAAUCGGAAAAAGCCGACCUCAGUUCGGAUUGGAGUCUGCAACUCGACUCCAUGAAGCUGGAAUCGCUAGUAAUCGCGGAUCAGAACGCCGCGGUGAAUACGUUCCCGGGC